rnacentral:rRNA from 1 species
UUACGGGAGGCAGCAGUGGGGAAUCUUGCGCAAUGGGCGAAAGCCUGACGCAGCGACGCCGCGUGAGGGAAGAAGGCCUUCGGGUUGUAAACCUCUUUCAGGAGGGACGAAGCCACUCGGGUGAAUAGCCCAGAGGGUGACGGUACCUCCAGAAGAAGCCCCGGCUAACUACGUGCCAGCAGCCGCGGUAAUACGUAGGGGGCAAGCGUUGUCCGGAUUUACUGGGCGUAAAGCGCGUGUAGGCGGCCGCACAGGUCCGUUGUGAAAACUGGAGGCUUAACCUUCAGACGUCGACGGAAACCGUGUGGCUAGAGUCCGGAAGAGGAGAGUGGAAUUCCUGGUGUAGCGGUGAAAUGCGCAGAUAUCAGGAAGAACACCAAUGGCGAAGGCAGCUCUCUGGGACGGUACUGACGCUGAGACGCGAAAGCGUGGGGAGCGAACAGGAUUAGAUACCCUGGUAGA